rnacentral:tRNA from 1 species
GCAGUCGUGGCCGAGUGGUUAAGGCGAUGGACUUGAAAUCCAUUGGGGUUUCCCCGCAGAGCUUCGAAUCCUGUCGGCUGCG